rnacentral:rRNA from 1 species
GAUGAACGCUGGCGGCGUGCCUAAUACAUGCAAGUCGAGCGAACAGACGAGGAGCUUGCUCCUCUGACGUUAGCGGCGGACGGGUGAGUAACACGUGGAUAACCUACCUAUAAGACUGGUAUAACUUCGGGAAACCGGAGCUAAUACCGGAUAAUAUAUUGAACCGCAUGGUUCAAUAGUGAAAUACGGUUUUGCUGUCUCUUAUAGAUGGAUCCGCGCCGCAUUAGCUAGUUGGUAAGGUAACGGCUUACCAAGGCAACGAUGCGUAGCCGACGUGAGAGGGUGAUCGGCCACAUUGGAACUGAGACACGGUCCAGACUCCUACGGGAGGCAGCAGUAGGGAAUCUGCCGCAAUGGGCGAAAGCCUGACGGAGCAACGCCGAGUGAGUGAUGAAGGUCUUCGGAUCGUAAAACUCUGUUAUUAGGGAAGAACAAAUGUGUAAGUAACUAUGCACGUCUUGACGGUACCUAAUCAGAAAGCCACGGCUAACUACGUG